rnacentral:rRNA from 1 species
UACGUAGGUGGCGAGCGUUAUCCGGAAUGAUUGGGCGUAAAGGGUGCGUAGGCUGUAAGGUAAGUCAGCGGUGAAAUGCCCCCGCUCAACGGGGUGAAGUGCCAUUGAUACUGCCUUGCUGGAAUGCGGAUGCCGUGGGAGGAAUGUGUGGUGUAGCGGUGAAAUGCAUAGAUAUCGCGCAGAACCCCGAUUGCGAAGGCAGCCUGCCGGCCCCACACUGACGCUGAGGCACGAAAGCGUGGGUAUCGAACAGG